rnacentral:rRNA from 1 species
CGCCUAACACAUGCAAGUCGAACGAAGUAGCAAUACUUAGUGGCAGACGGGUGAGUAACAUGUAGGUAUCUGCCCUUUGGCCUGGAAUAACACGAGGAAACUUGUGCUAAUACCGGAUAAGUCUUUACAGAGAAAGCUUUAUGCACCAUUGGAUGAGCCUGCACUUGAUUAGUUUGUUGGUAGGGUAAUGGCCUACCAAGACUGUGAUCAAUAGCUGAUUUGAGAGGAUGAUCAGCCACAUUGGGACUGAGACACGGCCCAAACUCCUACGGGAGGCAGCAGUGGGGAAUCUUGCACAAUGGAGGAAACUCUGAUGCAGCGAUGCCGCGUGAGUGAAGAAGGCCUUUGGGUUGUAAAGCUCUUUCGUCGGGGAAGAAAAUGACUGUACCCGAAUAAGAAGGUCCGGCUAACUUCGUGCCAGCAGCCGCGGUAAUACGAAGGGACCUAGCGUAGUUCGGAAUUACUGGGCUUAAAGAGUUCGUAGGUGGUUGAAAAAGUUGGUGGUGAAAUCCCAGAGCUUAACUCUGGAACUGCCAUCAAAACUUUUCAGCUAGAGUUUGAUAGAGGAAAGCAGAAUUUCUAGUGUAGAGGUGAAAUUCGUAGAUAUUAGAAAGAAUACCGAUUGCGAAGGCAGCUUUCUGGAUCAUUACUGACACUGAGGAACGAAAGCAUGGGUAGCGAAGAGGAUUAGAUACCCUCGUAGUCCAUGCCGUAAACGAUGUGUGUUAGACGUUGGAAAUUUAUUUUCAGUGUCGCAGCGAAAGCGAUAAACACACCGCCUGGGGAGUACGACC